UACAGAGGUCCCAAGCGUUGUUCGGAUUCAUUGGGCGUAAAGGGUGCGUAGGCGGCGCGGUAAGUCGGGUGUGAAAUCUCGGGGCUUAACUCCGAAACUGCAUUCGAUACUGCCGUGCUUGAGGACUGGAGAGGAGACUGGAAUUUACGGUGUAGCGGCGAAAUGCGUAGAUAUCGUAAGGAAGACCAGUGGCGAAGGCGGGUCUCUGGACAGUUCCUGACGCUGAGGCACGAAGGCCAGGGGAGCAAACGGG
rnacentral:rRNA from 1 species